AAGUCGUAACAAGGUAACCGUAGGUGAACCUGCGGUUGGAUCAUUAAUAAAGAGUAAAGGCCAGGGGUAAAACUCUGUGUCUUUAUAAACACCUGUGAAUAGUAAUUGUAUUUGGUGGCAACACCACUUGAACAUGUAUUCUUGAAUUUGUUUUAAAUUUUAAAAAAAACAACUUUUGACAACGGAUCUCUAGGCUCUC
rnacentral:misc_RNA from 1 species